GAUGAACGCUGGCGGCGUGCCUAAUACAUGCAAGUCGAGCGAACAGACGAGGAGCUUGCUCCUCUGACGUUAGCGGCGGACGGGUGAGUAACACGUGGAUAACCUACCUAUAAGACUGGGAUAACUUCGGGAAACCGGAGCUAAUACCGGAUAAUAUCUGCAACCGCAUGGUUGAAUAGUGAAAGCCGGUUUUGCUGUCACUUAUAGAUGGAUCCGCGCGGCAUUAGCUAGUUGGUAAGGUAACGGCUUACCAAGGCAACGAUGCGUAGCCGACCUGAGAGGGGGAUCGGCCACACUGGAACUGAGCCACGGUCCAGACUCCUACGGGAGGCAGCGGUAGGGACUCGUCGGCAAAGGGCGAAAGCCUGACGGAGCAACGCCGCGUGAGUGAUGAAGGUCUUCGGAUCGUAAAACUCUGUUAUUAGGGAAGAACGAAUGUGUAAGUAACGAUGCACGUCUUGACGGUACCUAAUCAGAAAGCAACGGCUAACUACGUG
rnacentral:rRNA from 1 species